GCAGGGGAGUUGGACCAAAUGACCUUCAAAGGUCCCUUCCAAUUGAAACGAUUCUGUGACUUCAGAAUGCUUAUAGAGGAGCUGCAAAAUGCCUAAGUACAGCCCACGUGCAGGAUCACACCCCAGGACCUUCGGUUAGAGGCAGCUCAUGCACCAGCUCUCAGACCGACUCCGCACACAGCAAAGAAGACUUUGCUUCUUCUAAUUAAGAAGAGAAUUUUGAAAUAUCUGCUGAAUUCUUGACCUUCAGAAUUCCCUCCGCCAAUGUCCCUCUGAUCUGAGCUCUCAAGGGCUUCCACUGUUCGUGUGAAAAUAGCAUGAGGCUUUGUGGCAUGGUGAUAUGACAGAAGAAAUCUUCCUGAGAAUGUGAAACAGGGCCGCACAAACUGAAUAUUGUAUUCCAGGCCUAAGACAGAGCAGCUGGGGAAAGGACCAUGCUUCAAGCUGCCCUGCACCCCUGGUUGUCUCAGAUGGAUUUGCAGGGUGUUGGAUAAGGAUGGCCCUGUGUGUGGGUGAUCCCUAAAAGUACGCUGACUGCACUGGGUGGACUUCAGCACAGAAAUCUGAAUUGACUUAUUACUGACCACUACUGACCAACCCAAAGAAUUUUGUCACCCUUUGAGGAAGAACAUCAGCUGGAGAAUAAGCAUGUGGUAGAAGAGCUUCAGGGGACCUAUGGACCUGAAAGUAAAUACCCGGGAUCAGUCCACUUGCAUGUGUACUUCAGAGAAGUACGUGUACUUCUCUGUACGUGUGUACUUCAGAGAAUCCACAGGUCUUCGUGAACAUACAGCAGCUCUUCAGAGGGUUCACUCUUCUUUCAACUCCAUUCUGCCUCCUAUGACCAGCAAGGGUCUUGGUGUUUUGUCUUGGAGGAACUGCUGCAGAGAUCCGUUCCCUUUCUACCUCUUCGCAUUUAUUUUACAUUAUUGUGUGAGUACCCACUCUGUACAAAUCUUUGGGUGGUUCUGCUGAAGAUGUUUCCAUGCUGUGCAGCACAGAAAGUUGUUUUACUGCUGCUUCCCACGCUUAUCAGGAACUGAAGCCAAUAGUGAUUGUCUAAUCACUCAUACGCUCUCUCUGUUCUGCAACAGCGUUGUUAGAGUUUUCUAUCUAUGGCAAUUGUUGUGUUUGUUUCAUUUUUCCUGAUGUCUAGGCUGAGUUAGCUUUAGGAACAAAAGUCUGCUUUUAAUCAGUAUCUUAAAAAAUAAGUUUUUCCUGGAAAUAACUCAAGGCAUGGUAUUACUGGCGUCGCUUGCUCCUUGAGACAAGCUUUCAGCUGCUGUGAAACACAAAAAUCUGCUGGCUCUCCUGCAGAGUUCCAGGCCUGUAGAUACUGAAUGAUUUGCUUGUUCCAGCCAGCCCAGCCACCCUUCAACACGCAAGGGCUCACGUGUGGGGUUGGCAGUACCUUUGAGUGUGAGCUUCUUGUAAAUACCUUAAUGAUAUAUAUAUAUAUGCUUUUAUCGGAAAAAAGGAAAGAACAAUCUUAUUCACUUGCUUUUUAUGAAGUUUAUGAAUGCUUCUCUAUCUACCAGUACAUACAGGUACAUCCAGCUUGUGAUUUUUCUCCAUAAGGUUUUGCUAGGGUACCUCAAGAGAUGCUUCAAGUGCUGCCUCAAUGAAUGUGCCUUGCAAACCUGCAAAAUGCCUUAUUUCACUCUGUUAAACUCACUUAAGCAUUUCCUAUCUAAAGGAAGGGUGUACCCUCUUUGGCUUGCACCCAACAAAUUUGUAAGUGCCUCUUUUUUUUCUUCCUUUUGGUUCACUCUCUUUGUUAUUGAGCCAUCAAAUAUAGUGAUCAGAAUACUGAAAGGUUUAUUGCAUUGCGCGUGUAGGAGUGUCAGACUAGAAAUAUUGAUUUGAUUGUUCAUUCAGCUUGUAAGAGUUCACCUUAUAGCCACAUUGAAGUCUGCUUUUCUACUGCUUACUGAGAGAAAAACAAUUCUGUUUUGCCCUUCCUAGCCAGGAAGCAUCCUGCUGGCUUUUCAUACCAUAGGCUUGCCAAUAGGCUUUUUG